rnacentral:rRNA from 1 species
UAGAGGCAGCAGUGGGGAAUAUUGCACAAUGGGCGAAAGCCUGAUGCAGCUAUGCCGCGUGUAUGAAGAAGGCCUUAGGGUUGUAAAGUACUUUCAUCGGGGAGGAAAAACAAAACUAAUAAUUUUAUUUCUUGACGUUACCCGAAAAAGAAGCACCGGCUAACUCCGUGCCAGCAGCCGCGGUAAUACGGAGGGUGCUAGCGUUAAUCAGAAUUACUGGGCGUAAAGAGCACGUAGGUGGUUUUUUUAAGUCAGAUGUGAAAUCCCUGGGCUUAACCUGGAACUGCAUUUUGAAACUGAAAUACUAGAGUAUCGUAGAGGGAGGUAGAAUUCUAGGUGUAGCGGUGAAAUGCGUAGAUAUCUGGAGGAAUACCUGUGGCGAAAGCGGCCUCCUAAACGAAUACUGACACUGAGGGUGCGAAAGCGUGGGGAGCAAACAGGGAUUAGAUACC